rnacentral:rRNA from 1 species
UAAGGUGGUUACAGCGACGGGGCUCACCUCUUCCCAUUCCGAACAGAGCAGUUAAGCCCGCCAGCGCCGAUGGUACUACGCAAGUGGGAGAGUAGGUCGCCGCCUUCU